rnacentral:rRNA from 1 species
GCAGUACUACAGGGAUUGCCUCAGUAACGGCGAGUGAAGCGGCAAAAGCUCAAAUUUGAAAUCUGGUAGUUUCACUGCCCGAGUUGUAAUUUGAAGAACGGUUCUUGUAGCGCAGCCUUUGUCUAUGUUCCUUGGAACAGGACGUCACAGAGGGUGAGAAUCCCGUGAGAUGGGGGGUGUGCUGCUUGUAGAGCCAGUUCGACGAGUCGAGUUGUUUGGGAAUGCAGCUCUAAGUGGGUGGUAAAUUCCAUCUAAAGCUAAAUAUUGGCGAGAGACCGAUAGCGAACAAGUACAGUGAUGGAAAGAUGAAAAGAACUUUGAAAAGAGAGUGAAAAAGUACGUGAAAUUGUUGAAAGGGAAGGGCAUUUGAUCAGACUUGGUGGGGGAGUACUGGCAGGCACUUGUUGCCUGUUUACUGCUCUCUUGCUGGGCCAGCAUCGAUUCGUGUGGCAGGACAACCGGCUGGGAACGUGGCUGCUUGCAGUGUUAUAGCCCAGCCUUCUACUGCCUACGUGGAUCGAGGACUGCG